rnacentral:rRNA from 1 species
CCUACGGGAGGCUGCAGUGGGGAAUAUUGGGCAAUGGGCGCAAGCCUGAUCCAGCAACGCCGCGUGAAGGAAGAAGGCUUUCGGGUUGUAAACCUCUUUUCUCAGGGACGAAGCAAGUGACAGUACAUGAGGAAUAAGCCGCGGCUAACGACGUGCCAGCAGCCGCGGUAAUACGUAGGUGGCAAGCGUUAUCCGGAUUUACUGGGUGUAAAGGGCGUGUAGGCGGGAAAGCAAGUCAGAUGUGAAAACCCUGGGCUCAACCUGUGGCCUGCUUUUGAAACUGUUUUUCUUGAGUACUGGAGAGGCAGACGGAAUGCCUAGUGUAGCGGUGAAAUGCGUAGAUAUUAGGAGGAACACCAGUGGCGAAGGCGGUCUGCUGGACAGCAACUGACGCUGAGGCGCGAAAGCGUGGGGAGCAAACAGGAUUAGAUACCCGAGUAGUC